CUACGGGCUGCUCCAGUGGGGAAUAUUGCACAAUGGGCGCAAGCCUGAUGCAGCCAUGCCGCGUGUAUGAAGAAGGCCUUCGGGUUGUAAAGUACUUUCAGCGGGGAGGAAGGGAGUAAAGUUAAUACCUUUGCUCAUUGACGUUACCCGCAGAAGAAGCACCGGCUAACUCCGUGCCAGCAGCCGCGGUAAUACGGAGGGUGCAAGCGUUAAUCGGAAUUACUGGGCGUAAAGCGCACGCAGGCGGUUUGUUAAGUCAGAGGUGAAAUCCCCGGGCUCAACCUGGGAACGGCAUCUGAUACUGGCAAGCUUGAGUCUCGUAGAGGGGGGUAGAAUUCCAGGUGUAGCGGUGAAAUGCGUAGAGAUCUGGAGGAAUACCGGUGGCGAAGGCGGCCCCCUGGACGAAGACUGACGCUCAGGUGCGAAAGCGUGGGGAGCAAACAGGAUUAGAUACCCGCGUAGUC
rnacentral:rRNA from 1 species